AUUGAACGCUGGCGGCAUGCUUUACACAUGCAAGUCGAACGGUAACAGGUUAAGCUGACGAGUGGCGAACGGGUGAGUAAUGCAUCGGAACGUGCCCGGUCGUGGGGGAUAACGCAGCGAAAGCUGCGCUAAUACCGCAUACGAUCUGAGGAUGAAAGCGGGGGACCGUAAGGCCUCGCGCGAUCGGAGUGGCCGAUGUCAGAUUAGGUAGUUGGUGGGGUAAAGGCUCACCAAGCCGACGAUCUGUAGCUGGUCUGAGAGGACGACCAGCCACACUGGGACUGAGACACGGCCCAGACUCCUACGGGAGGCAGCAGUGGGGAAUUUUGGACAAUGGGCGCAAGCCUGAUCCAGCAAUGCCGCGUGCAGGAAGAAGGCCUUCGGGUUGUAAACUGCUUUUGUACGGAGCGAAAAGGCUCUCUCUAAUACGGAGGGCUCAUGACGGUACCGUAAGAAUAAGCACCGGCUAACUACGUGCCAGCCGCCGCCGUAA
rnacentral:rRNA from 1 species